rnacentral:lncRNA from 1 species
GAGGACACAGCAAGAAGUCAUGCUCUAUGAGAAAGCUGGCUCUCACCAGACACCAGAUCUGCUGGCACCUUGAUCUUGGACUUCUCAGACUUCAAAACUGCUAAAUAAUGGCUCCCAAAGAUGUGUCUACAUCCUAAUCUCCAGAAUCUGUGAAUGUUACUUUAUGUGGCAAGUACGUGGCAGAUGUAAUUAAGUCAAGGAUCUUUGGAUGGUUAUCCUGAAUUAUCUGGGUGGGCCCUAAAUACAAUCACAAGUGUCCUUAUAGGAGAGAGGCUGAAGGAGAUUUGGUACCAACAGAAGAGGAGGAGGAAAUUGUGAUCAUGCAGAAACUGGAGUGAUGGAGUCACAAGCCAAGGAAUGCCAGCAGCCACCAGAAGCCGAAAGAGGCCCUGCCAACACCUUGAUUUAGGCCUAAUGAAACUGAGUUUAGAUUUCUGGACCCCAGAACUGUGAAAGAAUAAAUUUCUGUUGUGUUAAGCCCCU